rnacentral:rRNA from 1 species
UAGGGAAUCUUCCACAAUGGGCGCAAGCCUGAUGGAGCAACACCGCGUGAGUGAAGAAGGGUUUCGGCUCGUAAAGCUCUGUUGUUGGAGAAGAACGUGCGUGAGAGUAACUGUUCACGCAGUGACGGUAUCCAACCAGAAAGUCACGGCUAACUACGUGCCAGCAGCCGCGGUAAUACGUAGGUGGCAAGCGUUAUCCGGAUUUAUUGGGCGUAAAGCGAGCGCAGGCGGUUGCUUAGGUCUGAUGUGAAAGCCUUCGGCUUAACCGAAGAAGUGCAUCGGAAACCGGGCGACUUGAGUGCAGAAGAGGACAGUGGAACUCCAUGUGUAGCGGUGGAAUGCGUAGAUAUAUGGAAGAACACCAGUGGCGAAGGCGGCUGUCUGGUCUGCAACUGACGCUGAGGCUCGAAAGCAUGGGUAGCGAAC